rnacentral:lncRNA from 1 species
AGCAUGAAGACCAAAGUUUGGACACUUUGCCCCUUCUUAGAAUUGGGAACAAAACACCCAUGGAAGGAGUUACAGAGACAAAGUUUGGAGCUGAGAAAGGAUGGACCAUCUAGAGACUGUCAUACCCAGGGAUCCAUCCUAUAAUCAGCCUCCAAACGCUGACACCAUUGCAUACACUAGUAAGAUUUUUCUGAAAGGACCCUGAUAUAGCUGUCUCUUGUGAGUCUAUUCUUGGGCCUAGCAAACACAUAAGUGGAUGCUCACACUCAGCUACUGGGUGGGUCACAGGGCCCCCAAUGGAGAAGCUAGAGAAAAUACCCAAGGAGCUAAAGGGAUCUGCAACCCUAUAGGUGGAACAACAAUAUGAACUAACCAGUAUCCUCUUGAGCUUGUGUCUCUAGAUGCAUAUGUAUCAGAAGAUGGCCUAGUUGGCCAUCAGUGGAAAGAGAGGCCCAUUGAUCCUGCAAACCUCAUAUGCCUAAGUAUAGGGGAACACCAGGGCCAAGAAGUAAGGGGGGGCGUUGAAGGACAGUGUGGGGGGAGGGCAUGGGGGACUUUUGAGAUAACACUGGAAAUGUAAAUGAAAAAAAUACCUAAUUAGAAAAUAAGAAACAGUCAAAAUAAGAUAUGUUUUCUAAUGAGUAUUAGUUGAGCUUUUAUUUUGAGGGCAGAAAUUUUAAAAUUAAUUGAAUCUAUAUAAAUAUAGCAAAAAAAAAAAUGGCAAAGCGGGGACCUGAAGCAUUCCUUGUAUUACUUGGUUGGUAGUCCCCUAAUGCCACUACAAGAGACAAAUAUAUAAUGGAGACGUAGAAGAGAUGAAAGCAGAGCAGGGAGUGAAUGAGGGACAUAUGUGCACCUAGCAAUGUGAUGGUGACAAGUAAGAGAGGACUAAGGUCUACAUGCUGUCAUUGUACACAUUAGCAUCACUGGGAUAGUGAAGAACAGCUUAAAGCUCAUGCAGACACAGACUCAUCCCCAGAACCUCUUGCCUGGUUUAUUAUUGCCUGACUCUGGGCCACGGAGGAAAGGUUAACUUUCUGGACUGGACCACCUCUAAAAACCAUUGAGUCCACGAUGCCACUGGGGCCCAUUUUGGUGUCAGUGGUCCAUCCUGCUGCUCCAGAUCUCAAUGAAAUCUGGGAUUCAUGUGGAUGUUUGCCAUCCAUGAAGCUGCCCGAUGCCUCAGUGAUGUCUCAGGCUUUGCUGCCAUGUGGUGCUAUGCUGAUGUUAGUGGCAUGUGUCAUAAUGUUGAACUGUCUUGAGGCUCGUGGUCUGUGCAGAUGCUGAGUGCAAUGAUAGAGUCAGUGGUGUUGAUAUGGAUAAGGGCCAUGUUGUUGCAGCCUGUGCAUGAAUGCCCAUGGGCAGUGCCUGCUGCCUGAAACCAGGGUAAUGUUUAUGGGGAGGUGACCCUAACCACUCACCACCCCACAGCAAUGAGAUACAGAGGGCAGCAUAGGCAGGAGAGAUCAGGCCACAUUAACCUCAGGCCCUCUCACAUUUCUCCCUACCUGAUUACUUCUGGACUUGAUAAAGGGAGAGAAAAACUAAUCCUGUCUUGAUGGGCUGGCUACUACAACUUUGAGCAUUCCUCAGUGAAUGUAUGGGCCAUACAAAAUGAACUUUAAAUUUUUUUGGAAUGGGAAAGAUCACAGAGGAAGGGUGGACAGACAUGAAAUUACUGGGAAGUGAGUGUGAUUUGGGGAAUGAAACAAGAUUCCAAAUAAUCAAUAUCAGUCAUAAAUAAAUAAACAAAUAAAUGCUGAAAGGGUAAUAAAAAAAGUGUUCAUUAUGAAUGAACAGUAUGUCAUCAGACUUGAUUAGGAACCAUGUGCAUGCUUAGAGGAAGAAGGCGUUAUUUAUCUCCUGAGAUUGAAGGCAAUUUCUCAUGCCAUAUCAGAUAAUUAGCAGAUAACUUUGGCUCUUGGUCCUCAUACUACAUUUUAUCUGAGACAGGGUCCAUUCUUCGCUGCUUUAUUCUUCUGCCCCUGCUUCACGGUUCACAUUAGAACCAUUGAGAUUAAGAUAAGCUGUGGGAUAUAAAACCAUGGCAGGAAAUUUGGUUAGAUAGAGCAGGUUGAGAUCUGAAGACUCAGUAGACACACACCUGAGGCUUCGGUGACUCUCAGCAACCUGCCAGACUCCUGACUUGGAUCAUGUGCUAUGUUUCUCACAUAAAAGAGACGUGACCUGUGGUCAAGUAGGUUCAAGAUGGAGUUUUCAAUGUUAAUGAGGUGCCUAGAUUCCCAGAGGGCAUAGCCAGUAAGUUUUCCUUCCCAGACAUUUCUCCUUGCAAAAGGUAUUUAGUCGCAGGGACACUCUGAGAAAUGGUGUAUGGCUUUACACAUCCAUUUUCCUCCAAGACAAUGAACUUUUUAGUACCAUGGACGGCCUCUUUUCAUUGAGAUCCACUGUGAGAACCAUGGAGAAGGCCUUCACCUACAGAGCUGAAGGCUAGUCUUCAGUAGAAGGCCUCUCUGUGCUCUCAGCACCAACCGAUACCAAGCCUGCUGCCCAUCAAGCCAAGGAGCCAAGGACCCUCCACACCCAACAAGAUGGAACUUCCCUGUCCCCUUCUGCCCUCAGCUACAGGCUAGACACUGUCCCCAGCCUGUGGGCCCCCUACUCCAUUCUCUGCUAUUCUGUGAUUCCAAGUGGUGCCUGGAUGUCCAAGGGCCUGGGAACCCCAUGACCCUGACCUUCUUGCAGGCCUCAGGGGACCUUCAGGAACAGGAUUUCCCACCCCUCAGACUGCACUUUCCCACCCUUGAAGUGGUGCUUUGGCACAUGUGUACAUCCCAGCACUUGCCCUGCUUGUGGAGGGUGAUAAGUGCAGUCAAACUCCCUGCAUUCUGCCUCCCCAAGCAGCCAUGCUCUGUGGUGGAAUCGACAAAGGCCCACAACCCAACAAUAAGCAUUAUAUCUGAACUCAAUUUUUAAUGCUUUACUCACUGACAUAUGUCUCAGUCCUUUAAUGUGCAUCUUUGUGUGUGUGUGUGUGUGUGUGUGUGUGUGUGUGUGUGUGUAUGUGUGUGUGGUACAACCUUACUUUCUAUUUCUAUAGCAUUGGUAAAUGCUACAACAACCCAAAGAGAAUCUUUAACCUAACAUACCACCAAGAAUUCUGUACUCUUAUUUAAUUUUACAAAAUGUCUGUUAUAUCUGAGAUAAUUAUCCAUGUAAAACUUACCCUUUCUUCAGAGCAAAUUGAUGGGAGCAGCAGAAUUAUGAGAAACAACAUCACUGGGAAAGAAGUCAUGGCUGACACUAAGCAAAGGAAAAAACCUGGUUCAAUGAAGCAGUGCAUGGGAUAUAGAAGUAACAAAUACAUUUGUAGAAGAAAUACCAAAGCAACUAUGGCUGCCUAAGUAAUUUACAAAAUAAGGGAAGAGUUGAUAUGUGAGGUUGCUGUAAUUGGUUCACCUUGCCUUUAAUUUGUAGAAUAAUAAUUAAAGGACUGGCUGAUGUCUCUGCUGUGUAUCUGCAAAAGCUAGUUUGCUCUACACAGGUCUAUUCCCCUGUCUUCACAAGAAAGCUGGGAAGAAAAAUUCACUUUUUAUUUUCUGAAAAAAAAAUUCUGCACACUGUCCUGUAUUUUGCUAUUCCCUCUUUAUAACUUUCAUCUAUACUAGUUGUAAAUUAGGGUGCCAGGAUUUUGAUUAUGUAGAGAUAAAUAUGGCAACACCCUAGAAGUAGUAUUUUGUGGAGAGCAAUUGCAAAUUACAUAAUUUUUCCUUAUACUUGGAUAUAUUUUCAUGUUUUCCCUUCAGUAUGAAAAUAUAAUCACAAUUAAUGAAAUGUAAUAUCUAAGGUCCCUCAAUCCAUAUUUCUUUAGAUACGCUGCUUCCUAUGUUCAUUAUGACUUAAAUAUCCUCUGCUAAUUACACACAAAAUCCCUUGUCACACUAAGUCCUACAUCCUUCAGAUGCUUCUAAAGACACUUAGCAUGGGAUGUACUCUUAGUCCUUUUAGAACACAUAUGAAUUAAUUACAUUAUUACAGGUAUAACAUCUAAUUUUGUAUUCUGUGUACACAUUUCAAAUCCUCAAAAUUUUUUGUUUGACCAUACAAUUUGUUUCAAAUUUUUUAUUGUCAGAAUGACAAUGGGAGCCAUGAUCAGCAAAGAUCUGGUAUAUUUUAUAAUUUUUAUACCAUUCUCUUUCUUUUCCUCCUUUCAAGCUUUCCUAUGAACUCUGUUAUGCCUACUUUCCAAUUCACUGCUUGCUUUUUCAUUGUAAUUUAUGUUCAGAAUUAGAGUCAAAACAUGCCCACAGAGAUCUCUACUGUCUCUUUUUCUUUGGUCUUCCCUCAUCGACACCAGUCACUGCCCAGAAUCUGGAAAACAUUCCAGGUCCUUCUGGAUCCUCAUACACUCAGUGCCCAUACAUCCCAGAGUGAUAGCCUUUGCUCUUGUUCAUGGUGGACCAGUGAAAUAGGAACUGUAAGCAAUGCUUCACAUCCCUAUGCCACUUACUGAGUAUCUAAGUUUAAGCAAAAUGUGGCCUCAGUCAAUCAUGGGCAGAUGAGGAAAUGCAUUCGAUUUGAGUUUUCUAGCCAUCAGAGUCCUGUGUUUCUCUUUACUACUGUCCUGACCAGAUUCAUUUUCCAGUUUGCUUGGGAGGCUUUCAGUUUCCCUGUGGAUUUCAUGGAGUGAGGCUCUGAUGUGUCACUAGCCACUGAAAUCUUAGCAUUGUAAAUACUGUCAUCUUGCCAUGGAACCUGCUCUUACAGUCUAAAGGCUUGGCUUAAACACUUUUUUGGUCUUUUUAACUUAUUCAGUUUACACCUGGCUUACUGUCCCUUCCUGGUCACCUCCUCUCACAGUCCCCUCUUUUCUUCUCCUCUGGGAGGGUAGGGUCCCCCCUGGGUGUACCCCUCCCCCAACCUGGAGCAUCAAGUCUCUGGG